AUACGUAGGGGGCGAGCGUUGUCCGGAUUUACUGGGCGUAAAGGGUGAGUAGGCGGUUAUAUAUGUCAGGUGUAAAAGGCUAUGGCUUAACCAUGGUUAGCACUUGAAACUGUAUGACUUGAGUGAAGUAGAGGUAAGCGGAAUUCCUGGUGUAGCGGUGAAAUGCGUAGAUAUCAGGAGGAACACCGGUGGCGAAGGCGGCUUACUGGGCUUUUACUGACGCUGAGGUGCGAAAGCGUGGGGAGCGAACAGGAUUAGAUACCCUGGUAGUCCACGCCGUAAACGAUGAUGACUAGGUGUUGGGGAAACUCAGUGCCGCAGUUAACGCAUUAAGUGUCCCGCCUGGGGAGUACGGCCGCAAGGCUAAAACUCAAAGGAAUUGACGGGG
rnacentral:rRNA from 1 species